rnacentral:rRNA from 1 species
CAGUCGCCGCGGGAACACGUAGGUGGCAAGCGUUGUCCGGAAUUAUUGGGCGUAAAGCGUGCGCAGGCGGUUGUGUAAGACAGGUGUGAAAUCCCCGGGCUUAACCUGGGAACUGCGCUUGUGACUGCACAGCUAGAGUAUGGCAGAGGGGGGUGGAAUUCCACGUGUAGCAGUGAAAUGCGUAGAGAUGUGGAGGAACACCGAUGGCGAAGGCAGCCCCCUGGGCCAAUACUGACGCUCAUGCACGAAAGCGUGGGGAGCAAACAGGAUUAGAUACCCCUGUAGUCCCUGUCUCUUAUAC